UAAAUUUUUUGUUUUGAAAAAUACGAUUCCUCUUCUUUCUACAUCUGCGACCAUCUUAAAUUGAUUCUACUGCUAAUGGCGGCAACUACAAGCUCUGUUCUUAGCCCAACCCUAUUUUUUGGCCAGAGACCCUCACUUGACUGAUUCUUCUUGUUUCGUUGUGCAUAAACUCGUCUUUGGGACCUGUACAUUUGAUAAUAUCCUAAAUUUUGGAUGAUUAAUUUCGCCGUUGAGGUUUAGAUCAAUGGAUGUGGGUUCAUUGUUGUUAUGGCGUUUGUCUGGAUGUAUUUCAGUCUGUCCUCUUUCUUACAAAGACGACGACUUGGUGCGAGGAUAUGACGAAGACAACGACCCAAUAUCGCCAUUCAUCUUCUUAGAAUUGGCUCCAAAAGAGGGAUACUGGUAGAUGCCAUUUGGGAAUGACUAUGUUUCAAUCAACAAUCUUUCUUAAUGACAUGGUUUUACCUAUGCUAAUUGGCUUAAUACAUCAUUUGACCUCUAAACUAUACACUUUUAUUCUCUGAGACUCUUAAACUAAUUUGAUAUUC